ACUUAUGGCCACACCCGUGUGAACGUGCCUGAUCUCGUCCCAUCUCCGAAGCUAAACAUGCUCGGGCUCAGCCAGUACUUGGAUGGGAGACUGCCUAGGAACUCCGGGUGCUGUAAGCU
rnacentral:rRNA from 1 species